CCUACGGGAGGCAGCAGUGGGGGAUAUUGCACAAUGGGGGAAACCCUGAUGCAGCGACGCCGCGUGAGUGAUGAAGUAUUUCGGUAUGUAAAGCUCUAUCUGCAGGGAAGUAAAUGACAGUACCUGACCCAUAAGCCCCGGCCAACUUCGUUCCAGCUGCCGCGGUAAUACGGAGGGGGCAAGCGUUAUCCGGAUGUACUGGGUGUAAAGGGAGCGUAGACGGUUUAGUAAGUCUGGAGUGAAAGCGGGGGGCCCAACCCCAGGACUGCUAUGGAAACUGGGUGACUGGAGUACAGGAGGGGUAGGAGGAAUUCCUGGUGUAGCGGUGAAAUGCGUAGAUAUCAGGAGGAACACCGACUGCGAAGGCGGCCUACUGAACUGCAACUGACGUUGAGGCUCGAAAGCGUGGGGAGCAAACAGGAGUAGAUACCCGUGUAGUC
rnacentral:rRNA from 1 species